AAGAAGAACUUCAGCUAUGGAUCAUAGUGCCCUUUGCUUGGUAGGUGCUCAAUAUGCUUGAUGAUGAUGAUGGUGAUUCAGUACUAUGAGGACAAAGGCAUGUCAUCAUAAAGGGAGGUGUGCAGGGAGUUCAGGAUUAAACACUGUCCUGGAAAGAUCUCCAACUAAAGGUCACAGCCUUCUGUAUCCAAAAUGGAUUCUGAUGAGAUAUAGACCAGGAAGUGAAGCAUAAAAAUGACUACUGAGAUCACUGAAACCUAAGCACUUUAUAUUGGUCAGUGGAGAGGAGAAGAAGACCCUUGCUUCUACUCUGUAGCCAUCUUAGCCCAGAAGAGAACAGAAGACUUUGGAGGAGGAUAUGAAAAAACUAUGCUGAGUUGUUUUAAUCAAACUUAUUCUGUUUAAUCUCAGUUUUCAGAACUAGAACCAGUGGAUGGAUUUUGAUGGGGCAGAUUUCUAGAAUCACAUUUCUGAGAUUAAAGGAAACUCAGAAGACAUAUAAUCUAACCCAAAUCUAGAUAAUAAUUCCUUCUAUAACAUAUGAGCCAACUGGUUAGUCAUUCAAUGUCUUCAAUGAAAAAGCAUCCACCACUUGCCAAGGCAGCCCUAUUCCAUUUGAGAAAGCUCUAAUAAUUAGGGGGAUUUCCUCAUGUCAAGCCUAAAUUUAAAGCAACUUCCAACCAUUGCUCCUAAUUCUUUCCUCUUGGAUCAUAAAGAAUGACUUUGUCUUUUUUCAUCAUGUUUCCUUUGGAGUAGUCUUUGAUUCUUGCCUUGUUGAAAACAGUUAAGUCAUUCACAGUUGAUCAUUCUUAUUUUACUGAUUAUAGUUGAUUUUAAUUGUUGUUGAUUUUAAUAUUGAUACAUUAUUGUUGUCAUUGAUAUUUACCACCAUAGAAGGAACAGGAGGAAUCUGAAUGCAGAUUGAAACAUACCAUUCAUCACUUUAUUUCCUCAAUGAAUUUUUCUCUAGUGUAAGCAACAUGAUGAACAGGAAAACAUGUAUUAUGUGAUAAUAUGUAUACAGUUCAUAUAAUGUUACCUGCCUUCUUGGAGA
rnacentral:lncRNA from 1 species